rfam:Cavia porcellus supercont2_47 genomic scaffold, whole genome shotgun sequence.
GGGGAUUUAGCUUAGCGACAUAAGCGCCUGCCUUGUAAGCAGGCAAUCGCCAGUUCGAUCCCUGGUACCA